GACGGAGGGCGCGAGCGUUGUUCGGAAUUACUGGGCGUAAAGCGCACGUAGGCGGCUUUGUAAGUUAGCGGUGAAAGCCCGGGGCUCAACCCCGGAAUUGCCUUUAAGACUGCAUCGCUAGAAUUGUGGAGAGGUAAGUGGAAUUCCGAGUGUAGAGGUGAAAUUCGUAGAUAUUCGGAAGAACACCAGUGGCGAAGGCGACUUGCUGGACACAUAUUGACGCUGAGGUGCGAAAGCGUGGGGAGCAAACAGG
rnacentral:rRNA from 1 species